GGGAUGGAUCAAGCGAAGACAAAAGGCGAGGGACGGAGCAUAGAUUGAUCCCUCAUCUCGCCGUCGUUGCCACUGUCCGUCGCCGACAGGACUUGCAUAGAUCCAUCCCUCACCUUGCCGCCCUUGCCGCUGUCCGUCGCCGUCAGAUGAACUACACAAUGCUUGGUGCCGCCGCAGAACUUCUUCUGCAUCUUCCAUAUCAGCAAUUUUUUCUUCAAGCCUGAGAUAAAAUAUGGGCAACAACUAAACCCACAUUAGUCAUCAAGAAAUCCAGUUAUGCUCCCUCCACAUUAACAUAAAGAGGCACAUUUAUAAAUUUUAGAAAUUGUAGAACCUCUGCAUGGCAGUUUUCAACUCAAUGAUCUUUGUUUCUGCCUCUAAAGCCUGCUUUAACCGUUCUGCACUGAGCUUAUUGGUUUCCUCAUAUUUCCUCUCUGCUUCAUCAAUUUUCUUUUCUAGUGAACUGACCAUAGCCUGUGGAGAGUCAUGCAGAAUAUAUCAUUUAGUACAAGUUCAAUUUUAUCUUUUUUAUAUAUUAUCCAUUUUCCUUUUCCUUA